rnacentral:tRNA from 1 species
GCCGGAGUAGCUCAGCGGUAGAGCAGCUGUUUCGUAAAUAGCAGGUCAGCGGUUCAAGUCCGCUCUUCGGCU